GAGGGAGGAUAUGAUGUCAGAGGUUCCUGAUGUACACAUGGUGGUUGUGGAGAGGGAGGAUAUGAUGUCAGAGGUUCCUGAUGUACAGAUGUCUGGGUCGGCCUGUCCUGGGAUGUUACAUUGAUAACAGAGGUCUUCUGGUCUCUGGUCUACCAGCAUCGGUCUCUGAUGGUAGAGAUGUCUGGGUCUGCCUGUCCUGGGAUGUUACAUUGAUAACAGAGGUCUUCUGGUCUCUGGUCUACCAGCAUCGGUCUCUGAUGGUAGAGAUGUCUGGGUCUGCCUGUCCUGGGAUGUUACAUUGAUAACAGAGGUCUUCUGGUCUCUGGUCUACCAGCAUCGGUCUCUGAUGGUAGAGAUGUCUGGGUCGGCCUGUCCUGGGAUGUUACAUUGAUAACAGAGGUCUUCUGGUCUCUGGUCUACCAGCAUCGGUCUCUGAUGGUAGAGAUGUCUGGGUCGGCCUGUCCUGGGAUGUUACAUUGAUAACAGAGGUCUUCUGGUCUCUGGUCUACCAGCAUCGGUCUCUGAUGGUAGAGAUGUCUGGGUCUGCCUGUCCUGGGAUGUUACAUUGAUAACAGAGGUCUUCUGGUCUCUGGUCUACCAGCAUCGGUCUCUGAUGGUAGAGAUGUCUGGGUCGGCCUGUCCUGGGAUGUUACAUUGAUAACAGAGGUCUUCUGGUCUCUGGUCUACCAGCAUCGGUCUCUGAUGGUAGAGAUGUCUGGGUCGGCCUGUCCUGGGAUGUUACAUUGAUAACAGAGGUCUUCUGGUCUCUGGUCUACCAGCAUCGGUCUCUGAUGGUAGAGAUGUCUGGGUCGGCCUGUCCUGGGACUUUACAUUGAUAACAGAGGUCUUCUGGUCUCUGGUCUACCAGCAUCGGUCUCUGAUGGUAGAGAUGUCUGGGUCGGCCUGUCCUGGGAUGUUACAUUGAUAACAGAGGUCUUCUGGUCUCUGGUCUACCAGCAUCGGUCUCUGAUGGUAGAGAUGUCUGGGUCGGCCUGUCCUGGGAUGUUACAUUGAUAACAGAGGUCUUCUGGUCUCUGGUCUACCAGCAUCGGUCUCUGAUGGUAGAGAUGUCUGGGUCGGCCUGUCCUGGGAUGUUACAUUGAUAACAGAGGUCUUCUGGUCUCUGGUCUACCAGCAUCGGUCUCUGAUGGUAGAGAUGUCUGGGUCGGCCUGUCCUGGGAUGUUACAUUGAUAACAGAGGUCUUCUGGUCUCUGGUCUACCAGCAUCGGUCUCUGAUGGUAGAGAUGUCUGGGUCGGCCUGUCCUGGGAUGUUACAUUGAUAACAGAGGUCUUCUGGUCUCUGGUCUACCAGCAUCGGUCUCUGAUGGUAGAGAUGUCUGGGUCGGCCUGUCCUGGGACUUUACAUUGAUAACAGAGGUCUUCUGGUCUCUGGUCUACCAGCAUCGGUCUCUGAUGGUAGAGAUGUCUGGGUCGGCCUGUCCUGGGAUGUUACAUUGAUAACAGAGGUCUUCUGGUCUCUGGUCUACCAGCAUCGGUCUCUGAUGG